rnacentral:rRNA from 1 species
UACGUAGGGUGCAAGCGUUGUCCGGAAUUAUUGGGCGUAAAGGGCUCGUAGGCGGUUUGUCGCGUCGGGAGUGAAAACUCAGGGCUUAACCCUGAGCCUGCUUCCGAUACGGGCAGACUAGAGGUAUGCAGGGGAGAAUGGAAUUCCUGGUGUAGCGGUGAAAUGCGCAGGUAUCAGGAGGAACACCGGUGGCGAAGGCGGUUCUCUGGGCAUUACCUGACGCUGAGGAGCGAAAGUGUGGGGAGCGAACAGG